GGGCCAUUGGCGCAGGCAGGUAGCGCGGCAGGCUUUUAAGCAGGAGGGUCGUGGGUUCAAUUCCCACAUGGCCCG
rnacentral:tRNA from 1 species